GUCUCUGUAGUGUAGUGGUUAUCACAUUCGCCUGACACACAAAAGGUCCCUGGUUCAAAACCGGAUGGGAACA
rnacentral:tRNA from 1 species